CUAUGCAUGCAGUCGAGCGACGCAUGCCGGAGGGGUAACCCACUGGUAUGACGGAGCGGCGAACGGGUGAGUAGCACGUGAGCAACCUGCCCCACAGACCGGAACAGCCCAGGGAAACCUGGAUUAAUGCCGGAUGCCCUCAUCGGACCACAUGGCCUGAUGAGGAAAUGCCUUUGUGCUGUGGGAUGGGCUCGCGGCUUAUCAGCUAGUUGGUGGGGUAACGGCCUACCAAGGCGUCGACGAGUAGCUGGUCUGAGAGGACGAUCAGCCACACUGGGACUGAGAUACGGCCCAGACUCCUACGGGAGGCAGCAGCAGGGAAUCUUGCGCAAUGGGCGAAAGCCUGACGCAGCAACGCCGCGUGGGGGAUGACGGCCUUCGGGUUGUAAACCCCUUUCAGGAGGGAAGAAAUUGACGGUACCUCCAAAAGAAGCACCGGCCAACUACGUGCCAGCAGCCGCGGUAAUACGUAGGGUGCGAGCGUUAUCCGGAAUCAUUGGGCGUAAAGAGCUCGUAGGCGGUUCAGCAAGUCGGCUGUGAAAGUCCGAGGCUCAACCUCGGAACUGCAGUCGAUACUGCUGUGACUCGAGUCCGGUAGAGGAGAAUGGAAUUCCCGGUGUAGCGGUGAAAUGCGCAGAUAUCGGGAGGAACACCAGUAGCGAAGGCGGUUCUCUGGGCCGGUACUGACGCUGAGGAGCGAAAGCAUGGGUAACAAACAGGAUUAGAUACCCUGGUAGUCCAUGCCGUAAACGUUGGACACUAGGUGUGGCGUUCCGAUCAAC
rnacentral:rRNA from 1 species